rnacentral:rRNA from 1 species
AUUGAACGCUGGCGGCAGGCCUAACACAUGCAAGUCGAACGGUAACAGGAAGCAGCUUGCUGCUUUGCUGACGAGUGGCGGACGGGUGAGUAAUGUCUGGGAAACUGCCUGAUGGAGGGGGAUAACUACUGGAAACGGUAGCUAAUACCGCAUAACGUCGCAAGACCAAAGAGGGGGACCUUCGGGCCUCUUGCCAUCGGAUGUGCCCAGAUGGGAUUAGCUAGUAGGUGGGGUAACGGCUCACCUAGGCGACGAUCCCUAGCUGGUCUGAGAGGAUGACCAGCCACACUGGAACUGCGACACGGUCCAGACGCCUACGGGAGGCAGCAGUGGGUAAUAUUGCACAAUGGGCGCAAGCCUGAUGCAGCCAUGCCGCGUGUAUGAAGAAGGCCUUCGGGUUGUAAAGUACUUUCAGCGGGGAGGAAGGGAGUAAAGUUAAUACCUUUGCUCAUUGACGUUACCCGCAGAAGAAGCCCCGGCUAACUCCGUG